rnacentral:tRNA from 1 species
CCACGGCUGGUCGCCGGAGACCGGCUGCCCGCCGAGCGCCCCCAGGUAGUCGCUGACGAAGGCCCGGACGGUCACGUCGUCCAGCCGCGGG